AAAAUAAGUUUUUCUUCAGAUCUUAUAAAUAUUUCACCUUUUACUAAAGAUUUCCAUGGAGAGGAGCAACUCUGAAUCUAAACCCAAUUUUUUGAGGCCUUGUGAAACAAGGCU
rnacentral:snRNA from 1 species